rnacentral:rRNA from 1 species
AUACGGAGGGUGCAAGCGUUACUCGGAAUCACUGGGCGUAAAGCGCGCGCAGGCGGGCUGAUAAGUUGGAUGUGAAAGCCUACGGCUCAACCGUAGAACUGCAUCCAAAACUGUCAGUCUAGCGUCUGCGAGGGGAAGAUGGAAUUAGUUGUGUAGGGGUAAAAUCCGUAGAGAUAACUAGGAAUACCAAAAGCGAAGGCGAUCUUCUGGAACAGUACUGACGCUGAGGCGCGAAAGCGUGGGGAGCAAACAGAAUUAGAAACCCUAGUAGUCC